GAUUGAUUUGUAUGGAAUCGAACGGGGACUUAAAAUCCCCCGCUCGUAAGGGCGUGCCGGUUCGAUUCCGGCUUCGGGCACCA
rnacentral:tRNA from 1 species